GGCUGUUGUACUCCCUGCUGCCUCCCACCCUGGGCCUCAUUUCCCAGGCAGGACCCUGGGCCUCAUUUCCCAGGCAGGACAGUUUGCCAGUCCUUGCUCUCUACUGUGUCUGCAUUUCCCUGGAUGAGAAGAGUUCUGUGGAGUGUCCUGUGCUAGGGGCUGCAGGGAGCACUUCACCAGACUCAACAUUUUCUGCUGUUUUAGUGGAAACAUUCCAAUCUGAUCUCUGACACCAGAAAUGUCUUUCCUCUCUGACACUGCUUCCUCCAGAAACUUAGAUAAGAGCAAUUGGUUUCCAUUCAAGGGAGGGGCAGGGAUAUGAUUCUGCGGGACCAGUCUGGAGUGUGGAGUUGAUGAGAGACGUGUGCGAUGUGUAUGCAAACCUAGAAGUUGUCGGAGCGGUCACCUCCACCAGAUAAAUCAUUCCCAUUCAGUGUUUUCUUGGGGGAGGCCAGCACAGGAAAACUUUCUCUUACCAUCUCUGCUGCAACCAGACUUGUAUUUUUCUUUUACUUUUCCUUCCAGUGUUGUACUGGAUUCUCCCCUCAGGAAUGUCAGACUUCUGCAAGUUCUUCCAUGGCACCAGCUGGAAGACAUGACAGAGGAUCCAGGAAGGCCCAGUGGAGAAAAGAGGUCUUUUGUAAACCAGAGUAGUGCCUCCCUUACUCCAUCCUGGGCUCCAACCUCCUCUGGCCAGUAACUAGUCUCCGGGGCUCUCUCCAAAAUCCCACCACUCUGUCAACACCUGUUCCUAGGUCUCCAGGACACCCCCUGUGGGGAAAAGACUCUUUCCCAGUGUUGAUGGAUCUGUUACAGAACCGUUGACUGAAACCUCCCUCCUUGGCCAGGAACAGUGAUAACCGCUUGCAUGAGUUGUCUCGCAACAAGAGGUCCCGAUAAUGAAUGCCGUGCUACCACUGAAAACUAGCCAGAAGAAUCUGGGAGCGGCCGAAAGGAGGGAGGAGACACCAGUCCCUGUGUCCUACCGACCUCCCAGAAUCCUCCUCACUGGAAUCCAUCUUGACUGAGAGAUGUGUGCCACCAGGAAGGACCCUGAGUCAAACCAAAUAUGGGCCAAGCAAGAUGAUUGUCCAGAGACAACCCAAAACCUAACCUCAUUACCAUACAACCCAAGACUGUAAGCCACGUGGCAGAGCAGCUCUCCUGGGUUCCCUUACCCUGCUGCUCUCAACCCAGGUGCCACUUCCCAAUAAAGUCUUUUGCUU